AAACCAGCACCUCAAGUGGUCAGGAUGAUUAUUGGGCCUAAAGCAUCCGUAGCCGGUUCUGUAAGUUUUCGGUUAAAUCUGUACGCUCAACGUACAGGCUGCUGGGAAUACUGCAGAACUAGGGAGUGGGAGAGAUAGACGGUACUCGGGAGGAAGUGGUAAAAUGCUUUGAUCUCUCGAUGACCACCUGUGGCGAAGGCGGUCUAUCAGAACACGUCCGACGGUGAGGGAUGAAAGCUGGGGGAGCAAACCGGAUUAGAUACCCGAGUAGUCC
rnacentral:rRNA from 1 species